rfam:[Candida] intermedia strain CBS 141442 genome assembly, organelle: mitochondrion
UGAAUUAUAGCUCAAUGGUAGAGCAGUCCACUCAUAAUGGAUGUAUCUCAGUUCAAUUCUGAGUAAUUCAA